UAACGCGUGGGUAACCUGCCCUGUACAGGGGGACAACAGUUGGAAACGACUGCUAAUACCGCAUAAGCGCACAGCUUCGCAUGAAGCAGUGUGAAAAACUCCGGUGGUACAGGAUGGACCCGCGUCUGAUUAGAUAGUUGGUGAGGUAACGGCCCACCAAGUCAACGAUCAGUAGCCGGCCUGAGAGGGCGAACGGCCACAUUGGGACUGAGACACGGCCCAAACUCCUACGGGAGGCAGCAGUGGGGAAUAUUGCACAAUGGGGGAAACCCUGAUGCAGCGACGCCGCGUGAGUGAAGAAGUAUUUCGGUAUGUAAAGCUCUAUCAGCAGGGAAGAAAACAAUGACGGUACCUGACUAAGAAGCCCCGGCUAACUACGUACCAGCAGCCGCGGUAAUACGUAGGGGGCAAGCGUUAUCCGGAUUUACUGGGUGUAAAGGGAGCGUAGACGGUAGACCAAGUCUGAAGUGAAAGCCCGGGGCUCAACCCCGGAACUGCUUUGGAAACUGGUAAACUAGAGUGCAGGAGAGGUAAGUGGAAUUCCUAGUGUAGCGGUGAAAUGCGUAGAUAUUAGGAGGAACACCAGUGGCGAAGGCGGCUUACUGGACUGUAACUGACGUUGAGGCUCGAAAGCGUGGGGAGCAAACAGGAUUAGAUACCCUGGUAGUCCACGCCGUAAACGAUGAUUACUAGGUGU
rnacentral:rRNA from 1 species